AGAGUUUGAUCCUGGCUCAGAACGAACGCUGGCGGCGUGCCUUACACAUGCAAGUCGAACGAGAAAGCUCGGUUCGCCGAGCGAUUAAAGUGGCGAACGGGUGAGUAACGCGUGAGUAACCUACCCCAAGGUCAGGGAUAACUCAGGGAAACCGGGGCUAAUACCGGAUAAUGCCAUCGGGUCUACGGGCCUGGUGGCCAAAGGUGGCCUCUCAACGAUGCCUCCGCCCUGGGAUGGGCUCGCGUCCUAUUAGUUUGUUGGUGGGGUAACGGCCCACCAAGGCGAUGAAGGGUAGCCGGCCUGAGAGGGUGACCGGCCACACUGGCACUGAGAUACGGGCCAGACUCCUACGGGAGGCAGCAGUGAGGAAUAUUGCGCAAUGGGGGAAACCCUGACGCAGCGACGCCGCGUGCGGGACGAAGCUCUUUGGAGUGUAAACCGCUGUCAGGUGGGACGAACCGUACGGGGAGGAUAAUGCCCCGUGCCUGACGGUACCACCAGAGGAAGCCCCGGCUAACUCCGUGCCAGCAGCCGCGGUAAUACGGAGGGGGCGAGCGUUGUUCGGAAUUACUGGGCGUAAAGGGCGCGCAGGCGGCCAGGUAAGUCAGGCGUGAAAUCCCCGGGCUCAACCCGGGAACUGCGUCCGAUACUGCUUGGCUUGAGUACGGGAGAGGGGAGUGGAAUUCCCAGUGUAGCGGUGAAAUGCGCAGAUAUUGGGAGGAACACCAGUGGCGAAGGCGGCUCCCUGGACCGAUACUGACGCUGAGGCGCGAAAGCGUGGGGAGCGAACGGGAUUAGAUACCCCGGUAGUCCACGCUGUAAACGUUGGGUACUAGGUGUAGGGGGCAUCGACCCCCCCUGUGCCGCAGCUAACGCAUUAAGUACCCCGCCUGGGGAGUACGGUCGCAAGACUGAAACUCAAAGGAAUUGACGGGGGCCCGCACAAGCGGUGGAGCAUGUGGUUUAAUUCGACGCAACGCGAAGAACCUUACCGGGGUUUGAAAUGUGCUUGACAGCCUCUGAAAAGAGGUUUCCCUUCGGGGCGGGCACACAGGUGCUGCAUGGCUGUCGUCAGCUCGUGUCGUGAGAUGUUGGGUUAAGUCCCGCAACGAGCGCAACCCUUACCCUUAGUUGCCAGCGGUUCGGCCGGGGACUCUAAGGGAACUGCCGCCGCAAGGCGGAGGAAGGUGGGGAUGACGUCAAGUCCUCAUGGCCUCUAUGUCCCGGGCUACACACGUGCUACAAUGGCUGGUACAGAGGGUUGCGAAACCGCGAGGUGGAGCCAAUCCCAAAAAACCAGUCUCAGUUCGGAUUGGAGUCUGCAACUCGACUCCAUGAAGGUGGAAUCGCUAGUAAUCGCGGAUCAGCAUGCCGCGGUGAAUAUGUUCCCGGGCCUUGUACACACCGCCCGUCACACCACGAAAGUCGGUUGUACCAGACGUCGGUGGGCUAACCCGCAAGGGAGGCAGCCGCCCAAGGUAUGAUUGGCGAUUGGGGUGAAGUCGUAACAAGGUA
rnacentral:rRNA from 1 species